rnacentral:lncRNA from 1 species
AUAUAGAUCCCACAAUGCGAAUUGUUUCAGGACAGGACAAUCUGUCUGAAAUGCUGUGUCUAGAGGAACCGGUUGGAAAGCAACUGUUGGGAAAGAGAUGAACAGGAAACAGUUGCCUGCAACGAUUACACCCGUGCAGGUAUUUCAACAUUUCUUGAACAGCACUACUCUAUAAGUAAAGGGAGCAUCCAGGUUGUAUCCAGAGCCCUCGCCUUUACACCGCCUCCACGGCUGCAAUCGUUGGGAGAGAUCUCAGAUAAAUCUUCAGCCAUGAGGAUUCUUUACUCCCUAUUUGCUCUAGUUUUUUUCCUCUUUCAAGUUGUUCCAGAAAAACCUCUGACCGUAGAGGACUGCGCAGCCCUGGGGGGUUACUGCCACGUUCCCUUGAGCGAGGAAUGUCCCUCUGGUGUCAGCUAUCCAGCCAACUGUGGUAUUAACGCAAGAUGCUGCAAACCGCUCUCCUGAAGGAAGACACGGGCCAUUCCUUGUGGAGCCCAAGCCACACGAUCAGGAGGUGAAAUACAUGGAAUAGUGAAAUCAUCCGCCAAUUAAACGCUGAUUAAACAUAAGAUUUCACAACGUGUGUCUUUCAUUCCGAAUGCCGAUUGCAAAUUGCAGUGUGGAGAUGAGAGUGGUGUUCACCUAAUCCUGUUCAGGAUUAGGAGAGUUCACAUAAUCCUGUGAACUCUGUUUGUUUACAUGAACAUAUCUGUGGUAGAAACACUCAUGACCAUGAUUUAAAGGAGUGACGUGCAGGAGGGGCGUCUUUUUCCCAACAGGUAGAAAUGAGGAAAGCAAUAGUCUAAAGGACAGGAUCCUCCACCGCCUUCUCACUCCACCUAUGGAGGUUGAUUGAACUGGCAGUUGAAUCUAAUCCCAUUGUUAGGAUAGGGAUAGGAUUCUCUUCAGUGGACAUCAUGCUACCAGGAAUUAGGAUUGCAUGAAGGUAAUGGGUUGACCAGCAUUGGUGGCUGGUGUUCCUUGCAGCUGGUGGGUCAUAAUGCAGAUGGGCAGAGCCAGGACUAAUCAAGUUGAGCUG